AAAAAAAAAAAACGAAGUGCUCGGCAGCCAGUGCAUUGAAGGUAAGGAGAAGGAAUUGCAGCUGCUCUCUCUCUCUCUCGUGUCCGGAUAACGGGAAGUGAUGAAUUAUGCAAUGGUGGGAGCGAAUAAUGUGCUGAAAGGGACAACCACCUUCCUUCUGCUCUCUGCCUCCGCUUCCUCUCGCCCUCUUCUUCCCUCUCCUCUCCGCAUCUGCUUCCACGCAAACAACAACAAGGGCCUCACACUUCCCCCGCCUGCGUUCUCACGCCACGCUUUCCCCUCCUCAUUUCACAAUCAUUUCAGUCACAGGAAACUGGCGGUUGCAUUCUCUGGAAGAACACGGGGAGGAUUAUUCUCCCAGUGUUCCUACAGCGACAGCACCGCCGCCACUACCGCUUCCUCCAAAGAGGAGGAUGAUAACUCCGCCGCCUCUGCUUCUAGAUCGGUAGAUUCUUCGCCUGCUAAUCAGCCGAUGCUGGAGAUAAAGGACGCUGCCAACACCCUGGACAUUAGGGUUGGGAAAAUCCUCAGGGCCUGGAAACACGACGAGGCUGAUUCGCUCUAUGUUGAAGAGGUCGAUAUUGGCGAGCCCCAACCCAGAAUCAUCUGCAGCGGCCUUGUUAAUUAUGUCCCCCUCCAACAUCUUCAGGACAGGCAUGUCAUUGUCCUUGCUAAUUUGAAGCCAAGAAAUAUGCGUGGUGUCAAAUCCUGUGGGAUGCUGAUGGCUGCUUCUGAUGAGUCGCACCAGAAUGUUGAGCUCCUCCUGCCACCUGAGGGUUCAGUUCCUGGUGAAAGGGUAUGGUUUGGUUUGGAUGAUGAGAAUGACAAAUUACCUGAGGCUGCAACACCAAAUCAGGUUCAGAAGAAAAAGGUUUGGGAAUUAGUGCAACCACAUCUCAAAACCAAUGACACUUGUGUUGCUACGCUUGGUUCAUAUUAUAUGCGAGCACCAGCGGGUGUAGUGGUCUGCAGUUCAUUAGCUAAUGCACGAGUGUCAUAAUAAAAUGAAGGCUUCACCAAAUUGAUUUGUCAGUUGUCCUACCAAUUGACAGGGGCUAUGCUAAUCUUCUGCAUAUCAUUCCAAUUUUAUCGGAUGUCUUUGAAGGAUACGGGUAACUAAUUGAGUAUGAAAGGUUUUGACAUUCUCACUAGUUACAUAUUUGGAAUUAAGAUGUAAUAAGUUGCAAACCUGGAUUAGUCAACUUUUCCUGGGAAACCCAUUUGAAUACAAGUAUAAGUAAGCUGCAUUCUACUA